ACAGCAGUAGCCGCGGUAAUACGAAGGGGGCUAGCGUUGUUCGGAUUUACUGGGCGUAAAGCGCACGUAGGCGGACUUUUAAGUCAGGGGUGAAAUCCCGGGGCUCAACCCCGGAACUGCCUUUGAUACUGGAAGUCUUGAGUAUGGUAGAGGUGAGUGGAAUUCCGAGUGUAGAGGUGAAAUUCGUAGAUAUUCGGAGGAACACCAGUGGCGAAGGCGGCUCACUGGACCAUUACUGACGCUGAGGUGCGAAAGCGUGGGGAGCAAACAGGAUUAGAUACCCGCGUAGUCCCUGUCUCUUAUAC
rnacentral:rRNA from 1 species